GCCGUAGUCCCUCAAAUGGUGGAGGAGCUGCCUGCUAAGCAGCUGGUCGGUUAUACUGGCUUGCAGGUUCAAGUCCUGUGUGCGGCG
rnacentral:tRNA from 1 species